rnacentral:lncRNA from 1 species
AAUACUUUUUGUAGUAAAGUAGACGACAUGUUGAUUUUUUCUGUAGGUUCUGUGAAGCCGAUACGGAUCGCUGUCAUUGCUACAAAAAUGUCUUUGUAGUUAUCAGGGUGUAGGUCAUUUAAUUGUAGUCUUAUUAACUAAUCCGUGUUAAAUUUUGUAUAAUAAAAGCAAUAUUAGAAGUAAGAAGAGGAUUUACUCCACCCGAAUCAGGGGUAGCGAUGCAAGUGGUGUCAAUUCCGUGGAGAUAAUACAGUGGUGUGCAUGAUGUGGGCGCAGUAAGGUGGUACACGGCACCACGGCUUCGUCUGUGGCGAGCGGCGCGCGGGGAGCCGAGUCUCCUUCGCAGGCCAACCAGGACACCGUGGAUAACGCCACUCCCACCUGCUGGUGGGCGGCGUGGUCAGCCAUGGGCUGCUUCGGGUCGCCGGGCGCCAAGAGCGGCGAGGACGACGCCAAGUCGCAGAAGCGCCGCAGCGACGCCAUCACCCGCCAGCUGCAGAAAGACAAGCAGGUAUACUCAUCUUAUCUGCCUCGG